rnacentral:lncRNA from 1 species
UGCUCGAGAAUUAGGAAACCGUUAAGUGUUUCAGAAAUCACAAGUUUUCAAAAUGUUUUCUUGUCGUUGGGUCAAAAUUAUCCAGUUGCCUCGAAGGUUGGGGGGGGAGCAGCCUGUGGGGUAAGAGCACUGUCCAGCGUACAGGAGGCCCUAGGAUCAAUCCUCAGUUGACUCAAAAGAGGACGUCUGAUUUCUGUACCUUCUUCACUGAUGGGGCUGCGGGCCUCUGCCCUGGCAAAGGACAGCAGACUGCUUCAAGUGUCUCCUGGGCCUGCGACUGGGGGCGGGGUACACCGCUGGCUCUCUUGGUUGACCUCUCCAAAGGAGAUCUCUUAGGUACAGGGCAGUCUCUCCUUGAGGCAGUCUGUCCACACGCACACACACAGUUAUCCUUCACCUCAGGUAAGGGACUACUUGCUACCCAGAGUCUCUCACUUGCCAAGGUCUAUUGAGAAUCUGCCCUUACCCUAAGUUGCUAUGGAAGCAAGACUCAGGGGUUACUCACGGACACCCUCAGCUCCUUCCUCCACACAUGGCCACCGUCGCUAGAUCUUGUACUCUGUCAUUUGUCCUGUGUCUCAGGGUUGGAGCUGCUGGGUGUUGGCCCAGUCAGGACUGGGGGCUGGGGCCAUGCCCCAGGUUUACCCCCAGGUCGGUCUGGGACCCUCUUGCCAGGUCUGAGCUGGCUGUACCUCACAGGCGCCACCCUGGCAGUGUGCCUGGGGGU